CACUUACGAAAAAAGAUGCAUGUAAUUAUGUAAAUGAUGUAAUAUGUACAUUUGAGUUGUGUAAGUGGGAUUUUCGUUAAACAUGUUAUAGUGAGAUAGUGUGAGCACGUAAACUUGAGAUCGGAGAAACUGGUGCAGAUGCCCACCAUAUGACAUGUUUAAUGUACAAUAAAAUUCAUAUAUUCCACUGUGGCUUCUCAUUUUAUGCACGGCGUUGACUUGCAUGAAAACAUCUUUGGAACAAUACUUUAGCUAUCCUGGCUGCACCAUAAUGCAGCUAAGACCUAUUGAUAUAUGAUGUACUACAUAUUUUUAAUUGAGUGCAAGCCCACUUCUUUCCUCCUCUCGGUGGGAAGCCUAUGGUAGCAAAUUAAAGAGAUUGACGAGGAGAAGACGUUGAUCCAAUAGCCAGUAAUUAUGUCUUUUGGUACGUAGGUCGUAGGGUGGCAAUAACGAUGGUACGUAAUAAUAAUGAAUGCUAAUUAAGGAAGUUUAAUUAUAUGAACUACAUUGGCGCGCUGGUAACAAUGGUAACGAAAUUGUGUGUGUACUUCCAAGUUUAAGAAUGUAAUAAGAUUGUAAAAAAAAAAUAAAAAAAUAAUGUAAUAAGAUCAGAUGUCCAUUUACAUUUUGAUGGAACCACUUUUAGGCUUUUCGCAUGUGUUAUAUACAUAAUCCGUAUAUCAUUAAAUAUUAUGUACCUCUACAUGGUUGAAAAUAGGAUAGUACACUCGGGUGCACCUUGUGCAUGGUGCACACAAAAGACAGAAAGAGCAUACGAUUGUUUAAUAAAGAACAUAUUGCGU